rnacentral:lncRNA from 1 species
AUAACUAAAGGAGAUUUUUAUCAAGAAAAUAAUAUAGUAUUAAAAAUAAUAUUGUCGAAAAAGGAGUAGAAACUACAUAUUAAAAUUGUAGUAAUCUCAAAAUUAAAAAUAUUAUAAAUCAAAGAGAGCAUGUUAUUUAACGUAUAGAAAUAUAAGCGGAAAUUAUGAUUGAUCAAAAUUGGGAUACAGUGAGUACAAAAAUUAAGAAACCAGAGGAACAACACG